rnacentral:snRNA from 1 species
GGAGGACAAUCUGGUGUGACAUCUGUGUCACGGUUGACCUGCUGGCUGGGUGGUGUCCCCUUCCUCCCUCCCUCUCCAUGUGAGUCCCCCCCUCACUGCUGAGCACAUGGUGGAGAGCAGACCUCCUGCAGAGGACCAUUCUUCUGUCAAAGGUACUUGAGUAGCUACACUGCCCUGCCAGAACCUCCAAGCAAGUCCUCAAGGUCCAGACUGUAUCUGAAGACAAGUUCCCCCUAGACACUUUUAUAAACCAUGAAGUUCACAGUCCCCAGGUUCAAUGCCUGUAGAACUGCUAA